rnacentral:snoRNA from 1 species
GCAAGUGAUGACGUAAACAUUCUUCACUUUGACCUGAUUCACCAGUGAUGAUAAACUGUAGUCUGAGC